UAGGUCAUCGCUCGCUAACGACAACGAUAAUCGUCGCUAAGAUGUUUAGAGAAUCCUGCUACUGAACGCGCUCAACGACAGUCGCUUUUCUUUAUCAGAGCAAAAUGAUCAUCGCUUUAUUCAUUUUAAUAGAAACAAAAUAACAACAAAACAAAAUAAUAGAAACAGUCAAGAUACGGUUAACAUCUCCUAUUGUAUGGAGCCAACAGUAAAACACCGAAAAAUGAAUACUAUGGAUUCCGACCAGAAUAAAAAAGCAUCUACCUCCAUGGAAACACGUAAUGAGAUUCUAUGUAUUACGGAAUAUCAACUUUUGAGGACAUUGCUAAGAAAUCGUGAGAAAAAUAAACUCUGAACUAGUGCAGUCAGUUCAGUUCAGUUCAACUAUAAAGAACACACUGCAUAUUCAUAAAAGUUAAUUCUAAGCAACAUACACAGGCAUAACACUAAAUAAAGCACCCCGAUGGUGUAAAACAACAAAUUUGAAUAUGCUCAAAAAAUUUCUUGAAAUAGAAGUUGAUGAACACGGUUUGCCAAUAAAGGAUCAAGCGGAUGAAAAUGGGGACCAAGUAAAAUUUAAAAAUAAAAUCCUAUUUAAGGAUAAGAACAUUUUCAAGGAAAAAGAGUUUAAUGAACAUUUUGGUCGUUAUCCUGUAAUAUAUGUAAAUUUUAAGGGGGUAUAUGGAGAUUCAUUUGAAGAUGUCUUGAGAUCAUUUAGAUUUGUUUUACAUGACUCGUUUAAAAAACAUUUGUAUCUAAAGAAAAGUAAAAUAUGGCUGGAAGAAGGGAAUGAUAUAUCAGAAUUUAUAAAAUAUGUGGAUCAUGCUGAGUAUAAAACCUUAACAAGAAAAGAAAUUGAAAAAGGUUUAAGAUAUCUAUCCGAACUCCUUUACAAACAUUUUAACAAAAAAGUAUAUGUGUUAAUAGACGCGUACAGUAUUCCUCUAUCUAAUGCAUCGUUCAACGACUGCUUUUCUAAUGAUGAUUUAAAAAAAGUUAUAUGGUUAAUUUCUGAUAUAAUUAUUGUUUUACUAAAAGAUAACAAAUAUGUAUACGAUGCUUUAAUGAAUCCCUAUCAUUAUUGUGAGUUUUAUUACAGAAUGCAAACAAUAUUACACACCAUUCUUUCUUAUCUAAAGAGUUUUGUAAAUAUUACGGUUUUACACCAGAAGAAGUGAAAUUUGUGAAAAAGUGCAAAUUUGUUUAAUGAUCAAAUUAAGAUUAUUAAAUGUAUUGGUAUAAUGGUUACAAUGCAAUUGACAUUAACAAUCAUCGUAUUAAGAUAUACAGCAAUUGAUCAAUUUGUAAACUAUUUAAAUAGGAGAGAGUUACGUAACUAUUGGUCCUCUGAUGGAUUAUAUCUAAAAUUAAAAAUAUAUUGUUCCUCUCAUGAUAAAGUUCAAGAUAAAAUUAAAAGACUUAUGGAUGAAACAUUGAUUUUUUAAGGUAUAUAGAAAAAAUAGCAGUCGAUUAUAUUGAAAUUUUAAAAAAGGUGAUUUUUUCUUCUUCAUCUAAUAUAAAAGAAACAGAUGUUAACUUAUUUGUACAAUUUUCGUACGAACAUGGUUAUUUAAAUGUCGAAAAUGGAGAUAGAGGACGGCUUGAAUUAAAAAUUUCCAAUUUUGAAUUACAUGAUAAAAUUUGUAAAGCCCUAUUUUCUAUAGAUUUUUUUAUUAAACAUUACAAUUUUGAUCAAGCUUCCAUGAAUAACUUUAUUGAAUCAUUAAAGUGUAUAUCGCAAAAUGGAAGAGAGGGAUCUUUUGUGCCAUCGGCACAGGCCAUAAAAAAUUUUUAUUAUGGAUCUAUUAUCAUAUUAACAAAAGAGUUUGAGUUUCAAGCUCAUCUUUUUUACUUAAUACAGAGAGGGUUUCCCAAGGUUUUUGGGAAAACAUAAUAUAUACGCGUUCAGAAUGACAAAAUUUAGAACUAAUAUCGUGAUAUGUGAUAUAGAAAAAAAUACUGGAAUAAUUUUUGAGUUAAAACUGCGUACUAAUGGAAAUUCAAAAUCUACUCUCAAUCAAAUAUUAGAAAACGAAUAUUACAUAUUAUAUUUGAAAAGGAAAAAUUGUCAAUAGCUUAGUUUUAAUUGGAUUACACAUAUGGAUAAACAAAAAAAUUAUUAUUUCGUAUUUAAUUAAUAAUUCUGACAAAAAAAAUAUAAAAAUUGUAUUUACUCUCAUGUAUUUUUGUGUUGUAAUAAUCUUGAAUAAAUAAAUUAAAAUUG